ACCAGUNCAGGUGACCAUCGAAACGUAAUACGCCACGGAAUUGCUUCGGCAAUCGGAUUGGUAUGGCAGGGUUCGCCGUCCACGUUUCUCUUUCUUCAAGAAGACAAAAGCCGCAUCGACCGGUANCCGGAAUGGGCCCGUAGCUCAGUUGGUUAGAGCACACGCNUGAUAAGNCGUGGG
rnacentral:misc_RNA from 1 species